AGAGUUGAUCCUGGCUCAGAAUCAACGCUGGCGGCGUGCUCAGACAUGCAGGUCGAACGAUUAAACUUUCCUUCGGGAAAGAUAUAAAGUGGCGCACGGGUGAGUAACACGUAGGUAAUGUACCUUUGGGUGGGGAAUAACUUAGGGAAACUUAAGCUAAUACCGCAUAAUGCAGCGGCUCCUUCGGGAGACAGUUGUUAAAGAUUUAUCGCCUAAAGAGCAGCCUGCGGCAGAUUAGCUAGUUGGUAAGGUAACGGCUUACCAAGGCUACGAUCUGUAUCCGACCUGAGAGGGUGGUCGGACACACUGACACUGAAUAACGGGUCAGACUCCUACGGGAGGCAGCAGUCGGGAAUUUUGGGCAAUGGGCGAAAGCCUGACCCAGCAACGCCGCGUGAAGGAUGAAGUCUCUCGGGAUGUAAACUUCGUAAGAAUAGGAAGAAUAAAUGACGGUACUAUUUGUAAGGUCCGGCUAACUACGUGCCAGCAGCCGCGGUAAUACGUAGGGACCAAGCGUUGUUCGGAUUUACUGGGCGUAAAGGGCGCGUAGGCGGCAAUUCAAGUCAGUUGUGAAAUCUCCGAGCUUAACUCGGAACGGUCAACUGAUACUGCUUUGCUAGAGUACAGAAGGGGCAAUCGGAAUUCUUGGUGUAGCGGUGAAAUGCGUAGAUAUCAAGAGGAACACCUGAGGUGAAGACGGGUUGCUGGGCUGAUACUGACGCUGAGGCGCGAAAGCUAGGGUAGCAAACGGGAUUAGAUACCCCGGUAGUCCUAGCCCUAAACGAUGAAUACUUGGUGUCUGGAGUUUUAUUCUCCGGGUGCCGUCGCUAACGUUUUUAGUAUUCCGCCUGGGGAGUACGCACGGAAGUGUGAAACUCAAAGGAAUUGACGG
rnacentral:rRNA from 1 species